UAAUUUUAAAUUUCUAGUAAUUUUAUUUUAAAAUUUCCGACUGACCUCGGUCGGUACGCAAUCUGUUUUUGGUAAGUUUUUGACAGAAUACAACUGUAAAGUGUUUUACAGUUGUACCGCCAGCCAACAAUGAAUCACCUAGAAUAAUAAAUUAGUUAAGCCAUUCAAUUAGACUAACUCACUUACUACUAAUUUUAAUUAAUAAACCCCAAAUCAUAAUUUAAUAAGCCCCAAAAUAAUAAUUUAAUAAACUCUAUCACAAUCAUGAUUCAAUAAAAUUGAAAAAAAAAAAUAGCUAAGCAAAAGCAUGAUCAUAAUCUUUUAAGAUAAUAUCUUCCAAGUUAGUUAUGCCAAGUACCUGACAUGAUAUCAUAAACAAAAUCAAUAAGAGUACACCCAAAAUCUAAGAAUUAUAAUCAAUUGAAAUAAUCCCAAAAUUCAAAAUUGUAUACCCUAUUUUAUACAGUUAAGAGAAUUUAAAUAACUAAAAUUAACAAGUAUAAAUAACUAACCUACAAAGAUAUAAGAGGGGUAUGAUUUUGGUAGUGGCACGACGGUGGUGGCGCGCGGACGACUAGUGGUGGUGCUGCACUUGUGGGACCAACGGCGGACGUGGAGAGACGAAGUGAGGGAGGUCUGAUUUUGGGUGAAGAGGGAGUGAUGAGUUGAUUUUGGGUAGGAUUUGGGAAGGGUUAGAAACUAUGGAAAAGAGGAUGAGAGAAAGAGAAAAGAGAGAAAUGGGAAAGAAACCCGUCUGUGGCAGGCUUUUAUUAAAAGAUUC
rnacentral:lncRNA from 1 species